UAGAGAGAAAAAGCUUUCAGCUAUCAGUUUUAUCAAAGUUUUCAGAGAGAGAGCGACAGAGAUUCAGAGAAAGAGAUAGAACUCCUAAGUUGUACUUUUGACAAGCUUCUCAUCUAGAUUUUACAAGUGAGCUAUAUAGGGUGUAAUCUGCUUAAAGCCUCCAAUUGUAUUUUAUCUCAAUCUUGGUUCGUCUGGGAUGAUGAAAUAAAGCACCAUUUCACAUAAGCCAACGCCAUUUUUGUGAAUAUAUUUCUUUUGGAGUGUAUUGACUUUGAAACUCCGCAUUGGUUACCAAGGGUAAAGUGCGGCAGUCACAA